rnacentral:rRNA from 1 species
UGCAUGCGGCAGCUUAACAUGCAGUCGAACGGUAACAGGGAGCUUGCUCCGCUGACGAGUGGCGAACGGGUGAGUAAUACAUCGGAACGUGCCCAGUAAUGGGGGAUAGCUCGGCGAAAGCCGGAUUAAUACCGCAUACGCCCUGAGGGGGAAAGUGGGGGACCGCAAGGCCUCACGUUAUUGGAGCGGCCGAUGGCUGAUUAGCUAGUUGGUAGGGUAAAGGCCUACCAAGGCGACGAUCAGUAGCUGGUCUGAGAGGACGAUCAGCCACACUGGGACUGAGACACGGCCCAGACUCCUACGGGAGGCAGCAGUGGGGAAUUUUGGACAAUGGGGGAAACCCUGAUCCAGCAAUGCCGCGUGUGCGAAGAAGGCCUUCGGGUUGUAAAGCACUUUUGUCAGGGAAGAAAUCCUUUGGGCUAAUACCCUAGGGGGAUGACGGUACCUGAAGAAUAAGCACCGGCUAACUACGUGCCAGCAGCCGCGGUAAUACGUAGGGUGCAAGCGUUAAUCGGAAUUACUGGGCGUAAAGCGUGCGCAGGCGGUUGUGUAAGACAGGUGUGAAAUCCCCGGGCUUAACCUGGGAAUUGCAUUUGUGACUGCACGACUA